AUUACUACUGUGCACAUUUUUCUAAUGACAAGGCAGUUAAGAUGGGACAAAACUAUGAAAAAAAAGCCUUGAUUCUGCCUCUCACAUGCACAGCAGACACUUGGGAAUCCCGGACAGGUAGGCUGAAGUGCUUCCCAAACCAGAAGGAAUAGCGGGUUCCAUCGACUUGUGAAAGACCUUAGGAAAAAGGCCACUGGACACCUUCCUGUGCGCCUUCCCUCACCUUACGCCCCUCAGCCCUAUCCCCACCCCCGGAGAAGGUGGAGAGGGGUGGUUCCACGAAGGAGAAAACUCCAGCUCAAAGUUACAUUAACUUUACACCUCUGGACCUCAGUGAGCCAACAAAGGGAAACACGGGAGAGCGUAGGAAACACACUGAGUGGCGAUGAGGAGGUCUCCAACAGACACAGCUUUGGGAAAAAGAAUGAAACCCGGGCUGGGGCAGGGCAGAAAGCAGGCACCGCCAAGAGACGCGGCUGCCGGCAGAGAGGAGGGCGGGAACUGGAGGGAACUGACUGAAGCAGAUCAUAAAGCUGGAGAACCCAAGCGACGCGGGCGCGCCAACUGCCAGACAAAAGCUGGGGGCUCAAGAGGGUCCUGGACCCGGAGCUCGAAGGACCCCAGGGUUUGGGUGACCGGAAGCAGAGACCCCCCUCCAAAUACGAGACCAGAAGGGGGCGCAGGGUCCCUUUGAGUUAGCCAAUCGGAAUACACUGUGAACCUCCAAACCAGCCAAUGAGAAAGAGGUCAGCUACCUGCAAAACCCGCAACCUUCUUUCGUCCCGGGUCUGCUACUUCAAGUUUGGGGCCUUUUGCAAAAGUAAAAAACCUUGCCUGAGA